GAUGAACGCUGGCCGCGUGCCUAAUACAUGCAAGUCGAGCGAACAGACGAGGAGCUUGCUCCUCUGACGUUAGCGGCGGACGGGUGAGUAACACGUGGAUAACCUACCUAUAAGACUGGGAUAACUUCGGGAAACCGGAGCUAAUACCGGAUAACAUGUUGAACCGCAUGGUUCAACAGUGAAAGACGGUCUUGCUGUCACUUAUAGAUGGAUCCGCGCCGCAUUAGCUAGUUGGUAAGGUAACGGCUUACCAAGGCAACGAUGCGUAGCCGACCUGAGAGGGUGAUCGGCCACACUGGAACUGGGACACGGUCCAGACUCCUACGGGAGGCAGCAGUAGGGAAUCUUCCGCAAUGGGCGAAAGCCUGACGGAGCAACGCCGCGUGAGUGAAGAAGGUCUUCGGAUCGUAAAACUCUGUUAUUAGGGAAGAACAAAUGUGUAAGUAACUAUGCACGUCUUGACGGUACCUAAUCAGAAAGCCACGGCUAACUACGUG
rnacentral:rRNA from 1 species